UCUAUGCUAGUAUUUAUCUGAUGCUGAUGCUAGAGGCCAAGUGGUUUCACUGGUGCCCAGAAUGUCUGGUAGAGCCAAAAUCCUUUUCUGCUUUUUGGGCAAGUCAAAGUCAAAGCCAUGAGACAAUCAACCGCUGCGUGCUCCUGUGAUGAACUCUUCUGCCCCCAUGCCUAUCCCUACAAAUCCUGCGUCCAAGAUACAGAAUGGAUUCUGAAGAGUCUGCUUACUAUUUGCUAUCUGAUAGUAGCCACUGAAGUUUGUCACAAGCUCUUUCAAACCAAAUGACAGAAACAAAACAAACAAACAACCCCCCCAAACAACAACCAACCAAAUUCCUACAGAUAAAAGAAGGAUUUGAGAAUGGCAUUUACCUGUAAGGAUACUGUACUGGAACAAUAUUUGAAUAUUUACUGAAAAAGAUUCAUGUUUUCAGUGUGGCCACUGAUACUCAUACUGCUCUCUACACUGGCCUCCAUAGAGACUUUACUUACAAUGAUGAAAACGGAACAGGCCCCACCUCCAAGCCCUUCAGGACACCUGGGACCCUGGACCUGUCACAUCACCUCAGUUCCUCUCCGCAGACAUCUGCUUCACUCUCUGCCGGGCAGGAUAGAUUUGGAACAGGUCAGCAUAGGCCUGAUCUCAUCCACCUGUCACCUA